UAUGGUAACUAACUAACCUUUGAGAGCUCUUUCAUCACAUCCUCACUACAAAUAUCCUCUCAGCCCAGUAAAGAAUUUGAUUCAUUAUUAUUCUCUCCUAUUAUGCACAAACAUAUAUAGAGAGGGUAGUCCUAAAUCCCUGCUUCUUUUGUUACAUUGAGUUGAUUGAAUUUGUUGUGCUAGUUAGAGAUGAGUGAACCACCAAAAUAUGCUAACCCCUAUCCUGCUCAAGGAGACUACCAGGGACCACCGGUGGUGGCGCCGCCUCAGUAUGCGUCUGCGACGCAGCCUCAGAGGAGGGGCACCGGAAUCUUGGAAUGGUGCCUUGCGACUAUGUGUUUCUGCUGCUUGAUGGAUGGAUGCUGCGAAUUGCUCUGUUGUUGUUGUGUGUAAUCAUUAAUCUUUUUUAUAUGACUACUUCAAAAAUAUUAUAUGUAAAUGUUUAUGUAUUCUAUAGACUAAUGCCCAAAACUCUAGAAUUCUCUUCUUUGUCGGAUUAAA